rnacentral:lncRNA from 1 species
UGGGAUGAGCUUCAGGUGAACUUCAGGAUGUUUAAAGCGCUGCUUCACUUCUGAGCUGAACUGAGAGGGAUCAUGGCGGCAGUGGGAGCGGAGGUCAGCGGCCUCCUGACGUCAGGCGUCUUCGGUUUCUUCCUCCUCCUCCUCCUCCUCUCCAUCUUCCUCACGGCUCUGUGCAGUGAGUGCAGCAGACGUUCAUUUGAGCUGCGAGACUCCACGGCGGACAGAGAGCCUUCAUCGCUCAUCAGAGUGGUGAAGCUGGAGGACGCCAUGGUGGCGAGAGAGAAUCCGAUGAUCGGUGAAAUCCAAUACGAUGAAAAAGAGUUUAACCCCAGUGAAGGCAGCACAGUGUCCGUCAGUCCGUGGAGGAGCCACUUGGGGGAGCUGCAGAACCACCAGGAUGUUCAGACCAAUGGCAGUGCAGUGAAGACAGAAAGUGAUUCUGAAAGUGCUAAAGAGUCUAAUCCUGAAGAAGAAACCUCCACCUCGUUCACGCUGUGGAGGAGCCACCUGCACAGAGAUGUGCACAGCCCCCCCCCUCCAGACCACAUCUACCACACCAUCGGAGGAGGAGGAGGAGGAGGAGGAGGAGGAGGACGGAGCCGCAGCGAUGCUGACCUGUCAUCAGCACCGACCAAUCAGGAGCCAGGAGAGGAGCGCUCUGCAGCGGCGGGGGAACCCAUCGACAGGAACUCGGUGUAUGCACAAGUCAGCAAGAAGGCGAGGCCGACCACCCCCCCCGCUCACACACCUGAGGAGGCGGCGGAGCAGGAAGAGUCUUCACCUCCGCUGCCCGACAGGAAGUCACAGCUGGAGGACGAGCGACAUAAAGACUAAAGAUGAAGGACAACAGAAUGAAUGACAAAAGAAUGAAACAAUAACAAGAAGAACACAUAGUAUCCAAACACACUCCGCUGAAUCAGCACGAGAAGUUAUGGAAGAGUUGCAGUGAAAUACAACAUAUUGUAAUUCACAUUUCCUUUUAUGAUGCUUUUACUUAUUUACAUGAAAAGAUGAACAAUUAUUGAGUUUUUACUGUUUUUUUUCUGUGUUGAGAUUAAUUAUGACACCAUAAAAGCAUAAAAGAGGGAACAUUUGGAAACUUUAAUAAAAUAUGUUUUACUGUAAAAAAAAUAUCUUUCUCUCAAACUCUUUCCCAGAAUGCAACAGGGAACAACAGGCGAUACAAGUGAAAAGCAUCUCUUAUGCUGUCAGACUGCACGCGUCUUCCAGCUCCCACGUCUCGUUUGUGCUCGCCAUAGUGACCGACUGGCACGACAGAGUUGAGCUAACCUCAGCACAUGUUGCUAACGGCUGAAACAGCCGUAAUGCAGACAAACAAAGGAAAUAUACUUCAUUGUUUUGUUUCAUUCAAGCGUUUUAAAUCUUCCAUACGACUCAAACAAAUAAAAAACAGAUCUGAGACUUCCUGACUUUUAGUCCUCAGUUAGAGGUUGAACUCCAGAAACACUGGAUUCUACAUUUCCCAUAAUGCAACUGGACAGUGUCUUUGAUUAGAGCCGAAACAGCCACAUCUUUCAAAC